CAUUUGAAACAAUAAGCUUUGCAUUUGAAAUGAAAAGUUUUGCUUUUGAAAUGAAAAACUUUGGCGGGCCCUAUGCUGAAAGAUGUAAGACACGCCCCUAUUGGCCAGCCUUGAUCAGAGUAACAGCUUGGCAACAUCCACUGUUAGCAGACAACAGACAGAGUUCCAUGAAGAAGACGGAGCGGGAGCAGAGAGAAGACAGAAAAUCAUUGCGCAGAUUGUUUUCCAAGCUGGCACAGAGUCUAUUCAGUUGAAUGGAUCAUCAUGCACCCAAAGUUCUAUACAUCCAUCUUGUGGCCAUGCUGUUUCAGAGUGCCCAUUACAGCAUGAUACAGGUGAAGGCAGUACCUGCACAAGCACUCUACAAACAUGGUAUUGGCCACGGACACAGCUCCUCACCUCAGUCAGUGUCCGGUCUCGUUCAUACGAAGGACAGAGCAUCGCAGUCUUCCUACGGAUGUUACACGGACUUACCUACAACGCAACGUUGAGGAAAAACUACCACUUGGAACCCCGAACCCCGACUCCCGUCUGUCUCCAGUCUCCUGAGUGUGUCGCUCCAGUUCCCGGCUCCCGUCUGUCUCCAGUCUCCUGAGCGUGUCGCUCCAGCUCCCAGCUCCCGGCUCCCGUCUGUCUCCAGUCUCCUGAGUGUGUCGCUCUAACCUCCGGCUCCUGUGUGUCUCCAGGCUCCUGAGUGUGUCGCCCCAGUGCCCACACUCUUCCAACAGCAGUGAAACAAGGACAGUAUCAAUACCUUUCUAUAUUACUUCUGUGUUGCAAUAAACUCUCUCAGUCUCCUUACCAUUGUCUC